CUUGGUAGAGCUUGACAAUUAAGCAUCUCUUUUACACAGAGCAGAUAUUUGUGCAAACCAAAUUACCUUGA
rnacentral:tRNA from 1 species